rfam:Stachybotrys chlorohalonata IBT 40285 unplaced genomic scaffold scaffold1832, whole genome shotgun sequence.
GAAAUUAUUAUGGAGUAUAAGUUAUGUAUUAAAGAGAAUAAAUUAUAGCUAAAUAUUUAUAAGAAAUAUUUAUAAUAUUAACUCUAAGAGAAAUUAAAUAAUAAACAAAGUGAAUUGAAGCAUCUUAGUAACUUUAGGAAAAGAAAUCAAAAGAGAUUCUAUGAUUAACGUGAGUUAAAGUAGAGCAGUCUAAAAAGUAGAACGGUAGAUAAACUGUUUAAACUUUAUGGGGAACCUUCCUCAAAGACUAAAUAUAAUACAUACACGUUAGUGUAAAGUACCGUAAGGGAACGAUAUGUAAAUAGUAAUUUUAUAAGCAGUUCGAGGCGUAAGCUAUAGAACGUACCUUUUGCAUAAUGGGUCACCAAGUUAACAUUAGAUGCAAGCGUGCAUAUGAAGCAUGCGUAGAUAAACCAAGCGUUAAAAUAACGGUAUAGUAUCUAAAGUUAGACCCGAAGCCUAGGGAUUUUACCACAAUCAGGAUUAUAAAAGUCCGAACGGUAUAUUGUUGCAUAAAUAUCCGAAGAAUUGUGGUAGGUAUAGUGAAAGACAACACUGACUAGGAAUAGCUGGUUUUCUGCGAAACCUAUGAUAGUAGGCAAUUUAAGUAAAUAUCUUAGCAGGUACAGAAUUUAAUCUCAGACAAGACAUGUAUAACUCUUUACUGGUUUAUACAUGUUUUAUUUUGUACAAAUUGGGGGAUCGUGAAGAUUUUAUCAGUGAGUAUGUAGAAUCGGAAUGGCAAAGAUAUAUUUUGAAUUAUCAGACAUAGAAUGAGAAGGUUGUAUGUCAAAAGGGAAACAGCCCAGAACAAGAGUUAAGGUUCCUAAAUUAUUAGUUAAGUGAAAUUAAGAAGGUUUUUAUUUGAGUCGACAAGGAGAUAGGCUUAGAAGCAGCCAUAAUUUUAUGACCUCGUAACAGAGCGCUUGUUAAGUUAUAAAAGCAUCGAAAAUUUAACGGAUCUAAACAAUAUACCGAAACCUUGUCCAUGUUAAUUUAUGAUAAAAAUUUAUUAUAAAUAAAUGGGGUAGCAGAACGUUGGGUUAUUUUAAGAUUUUACUUUUUUAAAGUAAAAUACAACAAAUUAACCUAAGUGAUAAUGGUGACAUGAGUAACUAAAAGAAAAAAUAUUCCGCCUAAAGCUUAUGGAUAGAUUUAAGUAACGGCCUCUAAGUUUAUAUUACCUAAAGGUUUGAACGAUGAGAAAAUCUUUUUUUACUAAGGACAACAUUUUUAUGUGCAAAAUGUGCAGGAAAAGUAGUAAAUAUUAAGGAUUUGUUUACAAAUUAUAUAUUUGUAUACAAAUUAAACAACCGUACCUAGAAACUGAAACAAGUAAGCUAGUAGAGAAUACGAAGGCGUAAAUGAGCUAACAAUCAUAAAGGAACUCGGCAAAAUGACUACCGUAACUUAGGGAUAAGGAGGGCUCAUUAUUCUUGAUUAAUAUCGAGUAAAAAGGAAGAAGCAUAAAAUGGUGUUGUACGACUGUUUAAUUAAAACACAGCACUUUGCAGAAAGAUAAAAAAAUCUAAGUAUAAAGUGUGAUAUCUGCCCGGUGCCGGCUGGUUAACAGAUAUACUUAAGUAUAUUACUACUUAAAAUAGACGGAACCCCCGGUUAAAGGCGGCCUUAACGUGAGGGUCCUAAGGUAGCGAAAUGCCUUGGCCGUUAAAUGCGGUCUCGCAUGAAUGGUGUAACGAUACAACAGCUGUCUCUAUGAUUGACUCAGUGAAAUUG